GAUGAACGCUGGCGGCGUGCCUAACACAUGCAAGUCGAGCGAAGCGGGGACGGGUGAGUAACACGUGGAUAACCUCCUCUAAGACUGGGAUAACUUCGGGAAACCGGAGCUAAACCGGAUAAUAAAAGAUGGAUCCGCGCUGCAUUAGCUAGUUGGUAAGGUAACGGCUUACCAAGGCAACGAUGCAUAGCCGACCUGAGAGGGUGAUCGGCCACACUGGGACUGAGACACGGUCCAGACUCCUACGGGAGGCAGCAGUAGGGAAUCUUGCGCAAUGGGCGAAAGCCUGACGGAGCCACGCCGCGUGAGUGAUGAAGGUCUUCGGAUCGUAAAACUCUGUCAUUAGGGAGGCGGUACCUAAACAGAAAGCCACGGCUAACUACGUGCCAGCAGCCGCGGUAAUUC
rnacentral:rRNA from 1 species